ensembl:lncRNA
CUGUGAACUCCUAACAUUGUAUGCUAAACUGUGUGUGUGUGUGUGUGUUUUUGAGGAAAGGAGGCCCAUAUAUCAGAAUCUCGAAGGGAGCCAUGGCCUUGAAUAAAGGAGGGGGCAAGGGGCAGAAUCACUAGCUACUAUAAAUAAAUAGAGCAAAGUGAGGUCUGGGCAGGAGACCCCUAGUUUCCAUUUCAGGUUUCAUAAAAUAUCUGAAGAGCCCGGACAACAUCAUACAGCACUGGACCUUGGACCCUCAUAACAGCCCUGGGAGGCGGGCAAGAGAUGUGGCUCCAUUUUGCAGACGAGGAAAGUAAAGAGCCUGUGAAAGCUUUGAGGCUAAUAAACGUGGAUGCAACAUGCUGGGAAUUCAGAUGCCAUUUAACCAAUCCCCAUCAGAGCCACAUGCUUGUUUAUACUUCUUACAUCCCCAAAUUUCAAAACCAAUAUUGGAUUAGGAGCAACAAGGAACAUUUAGUGGUUCCAAGGAAACCAAGUCAGAUCAUACCAAGGAAGCAGAGACAGAACAAAUAGGUUUGUCACCACCAAGGAGACUGAAAAUCAGAAGAGGAUUAGAAAUUGUUCUUCCUGGUGGACACAUGCACUGUGGCUUUCAAAAUUCUUGGAGGAAGUAAUGUUAAGAAAAACUCUACAACCACAGGAUGUUACACAGAGAAAAACUACUAUGUGAACUGUUGAAAAUGUGCAAGACUUGAGUGUGAGAAUCACCAAGUGCUAUUUCUCCAUAAAGUCUGAGAGUGAUUUUUUUUGUUGUUGUUGUUCAGGAAGAUUUGCCUUGAACUAACAUCUACUGCCAAUCUUCCUCUUUUCACUUGAGGAAGAUUCACCUUGAGCUAACAUUUGUGCCAAUCUUCCUCUUUUAGUAUGUGGGUUGCCACCACAGCAUGGCCCCUGAUGAGUGGUGUAUGUCCGUGCCUGGGAACUGAACCUAGGCUGCUGAAGUGGAGCACAUCGAACUUAACCACUAGGCCAUGGGGCCUGCCCCCCUGGAAGUGAUUUUUUUAUUUAGCACUUCGCCUUAGAGCACAGUUUUUCUUGCACUGGUUUUUUUUCUUUUAAAUUGUUUUGUUUAAACAUUUCUGUCUUGGUUAUAAAUAUUCCGUGCAUUGUUUAACUUUAUAGACAAUUAAAUAUGCUACUUUCAAAUAUCUAUUUUUCUCUCUGAGAUGCAGAGCAAUUAUCUGGGGUGGGUACCAUCAGGAAGUGGGAAGCAGCAGAACUAGGACACUGAUAAUUUCAGCAGAUCCUGAUUUCAGCCCUUGGAAUGCACAGUUGGCACCAGAUCCUGUGCCGAAUUUCAGUGCAAUGUCCUGGUUUUACCCUCCAAGUUUUGGAGGACAAGGAGAAAUGCAGUCAGUUCUUGGAGCAAUGAAGAGCCACAUUUGGAAUUUAUAGUCCAUUCCUGGAAUGCUCCAGAAGAAGGAAUACAACAUCUGGUAUCUGUGUUGGCUAAUUAUUAUUACAAGUGACACCAAAAAAAUUUUACCUGAGUCAUGUCUUAUUCUCAUUCUUUCUUCUUCUCAGAGAUCUCUUUAUAGCCCUAGGGAUAUUUGAAAAAUGUAAGCCCAUAGCAGCUAUCAUUGCCUGCCUGCUUACUCCCUGGUGGGCAUUCUGCUAGGUGGUUUGUGUAAACUAUCUCAUUUAACCCUCCCAACAACCCUGAAGUUAGCAUUAUUAUUAUUACCCCUCUUUCAUAAAUGACAAAAUUGAGGUUCAGAGAAAUAACUUCCAAGGUCAUAGCUAAAAAGUGGUAGAGCCAGAAUGUAAGCCCAGGUCUGAUUUGAAAGGCUAGGCUCCUCCAGAACCCAAAGGGGACCAUGCUAAUGGCAUCAGGAGGUCUCAGCUGUUACUCAGAGGUAGUAGUACACUGUGGUGAAGAACACAGACUCCGCGAACAGGCUGCCUGAUUCAGUCCAUCUGAACCCCAACUCUGCCACAUACCAGCUGGAAGUUACUUAACUUCUUUAUGUCUCAGUUCCUCUGCUGGAAAGUGCACACAAUAAUUGUAAUCUGCUUCAUAAGGUUGUUUGAGGAUUAAAUAAGAUAACAUAUGUAAAGCGCUGAGAACCAGGCUGUAUGCACACAAUAAAGGGUAGCUGCUAGGAACAUGCUGUUGACGAGGAUGGCGAUGGCGGUCAUGGUUUCAAGGAUCAGCCUCCCUGCUUGACUUUGGGCUCCCCCUAGACCCAGACCCAUCACUCUAUGCAACCUUUCACCCAUCACAAUUCAACAAAAAUCUUAUUCUAACCAGGCUCUCCUCCCUUAUUUCACCAGAGUCCCCUCGGGGUAUAACUUCGAUAACUUCCCUUCCACCUACCCAAAACCUGCUCAUUCCUUCAAGGCCUCUCCAAAUUCUACCCACUCUGUGUCUUCCCCAAACGCUGAGGGCCCACUGGUCUUCUCCUUCCAGACCAUUUGCACCCCACAACGUUGGCACUUAGAACACCGUCCUCAAUCAGGCACACACCGUGAACACAGGAUUACGUCCUGUCCUGAAACAUUUGUUAAAUACUUCACCUUUCUUUGCCUUAUCCCCACGACUUGGUUGCAAGCUCCUUGAGGACGGUAUGUGAGAAUUAUCUCCAAGAGUAGAGAGUGGACUUAAGAAACUUGAGUCUAAAGAAUACAGUUCAUCCACAGCCUCAACGAUGCCAGACUCUAAAUUUGAUCUCAAAGACUUAAGCAGUAUCAGUCUUAAUGCCUGCACUUACUACCCGCUUGUUAAUAUGCAGGUUUCCUAAUGCAAUUAAAAUUAUUUGGAUUAAAAGGCUUCAACCCUAUUAAUCCAGUGAGCUCCUAAGUGAUCCACAAAGACUUGGGGGGCAUUAUUGAGCUUGGGUAGUCAUGACACAAAUGUGCAGCUACAGGUUCUAUAAUUCAAGUGUGCCCAGCAUCUGGAACGGGCUGGGAACUGGGAGUAAUUCUAAGGAGAUACUCAGAACUUGUUUAAACUGCAGAACACUGGACUCCUGCUCUAACACUAAAGUAGUAGGGCAUAUACAGCAGCUCUGGAUUUAAGAGCUCGCGAUUGUAAGCAAAGCUUCACGAACAUGACAGCCAGGCACAGAAUGCAUGAACUGAUGAUACGGUCACAGGUUUUCUAAUGGAUUUUACAGAACCUAAGAACUGACCAUGAACAACUCAAACCAUCCUACACAGUUCACUUGUUACUAAAACGCAGCCCUUCCAACACAUUUGCAGACUAAUGGCUGUAAGUGGCUUCCUCAGUUCUUCCCAUCCACCUGACACACAAAGGGACUGAAGUGCACCCUUGGAGAGAGACCCCCCCCAGGGAACAACCUUGACAAGCAAUUGCAAUAUGAGGGCAGGGUUGCUCAAAAUGAUCUCAGGUCUGGUCUCUGCCCCAGGAAGAUGGGUCCUCAAACUGGCAAGGGAAAGCCUCUCCCUUGUGAACCAUGCUGCUUAAAAUGGAAGCCAAACCCACAAAGGUGUGUCACAGGCAGAAAAUGGUAUUUCCUUUAUAUGUGACUCGAGCCCGUGGGUUAGCAAGCCAUGACAACGGCACUCUACUUUAAUCGCACUGAUCCAAGACAACCUCCAGAACCACCUCGACCCCUGAAACACAACUAAACCUCAUUCCUCCAGGUUCCAUAGAGGCCAACAUCCUCAACAUGCAGGGCAUUGGAAAUAAGACGGUUACAGAAUGCAGACUCUCAAGUCAGCACCUCCUAACUCUCCUCUCCUAUGGUCUUAGCCUCAGUAUCUGACAAGGAUUCUCAGAAUAUCCAGUGCUGGUGAGGCUGGUGUAGACCACACACUCAAGCAUAGCUAGCGGGAGCGAAAAUCACUACAAACUUUUUGGAAAGUUAUUAAAAAAAAAAUAUAUAUAUAUAUAUAUAUAUAUAUA